UUGGGUCGAAAUGGUCAGGAAAUGUAAUGCAUACGCGUCCUCUCGGCAUGGUGCAGAAAAAAACCCAGCAGCAUUGUUUUGGCUAGGUUGCUCAGUAUUUUGUUAUUUAAAAAAUAUAUAUAUUUUAACUGAACAUGAUCUAUCUGACUGCAUGAGAACGCACGGGCCAUUUCUCUGUUACCGAGGUCCUGCCAGGCUUUACUCUUUGGAAACGGACACCAGGAAAAUCCAGGUGCAACAAAGCAGCAUCAACCUCAUUCACCGUCCGACCGGGAGCUCAGCGAGAGCCUGAGAGAGAAACAGCUCCACCGUUUCACAGAGUCUCCUCCUGUAGAGCCGUACUACUAAGCAAUAGACGCGAGGGAUACCGCGGCUAACUCUGCAGAGAUAGGAUGGAUCAAAUCAAACGAGCAAACUGGAAUGGGAGGAAGCCAUCGAGUUGGCCAACCAAGCGGAAUCCCUGGGAAAUGGACAAAGUGAGCCAGCAGGCGUGCUCCAAUGACGUACUGACGGACACUAAAAGGAGAAGCGAUUUUUACGGAACCUUGUGCUUCAAAAGCGUCUUUGCAGUAUUCCUCUUUUACUCUACCAUCCAUCGAAGUGCAGUUAAUUAUUCAGGAGGAAAACAGUCCUUCGACGGAGCAAACACUGGAACAAUUUGAAGAUCUUGUCUUCCAGAAACAUCUUGAGACCCUGACUUGCUUACACCCUUUCGAUUUCAUACAUUUAUACUGUCUUACGCCAAUAUCAGAAGAUUUAAUGCAUUGAGAAAGAACCAAACAAGAUUUACAAGCCAAAAAAAGAGAUGAGCACUUUUUAAGAAUCUCAAAGCAGUGUGUGUAGUAUACUGUACAGUAUAAGAAAAAUGGGGUGCUGACCACUUGAAAACCCCAUCACCUCAAUUACUUUACUGCUACUGUGAUUAGGGACAUGUUAUGGUUAAUUGCAUGCUAAAAAGAAAAAGAGACCAGCUGAAACAUGUUUUUGUUCUUUUGUUCUACUUAACAGCAUGGAAUUAACCUCUAUUUAUCCCUUUACACUCUGCACUCUCAUGCAGACUCAUUUUCGCUGCUGCUGUGAUUAUGUUUAUUAUAAGAUCUGUGUACAUUCUAUGUGAAAGCACUCAAACAGAGCACACGGUUUCAAUCCAAUUACUCACCAGCCCACACUGUCUCCUUAAAACAAUGACUGUCAGACAUAUACAGAGGCCGUUUUUGUUAAGGUUUUCGGUUAUUAGUUGUACAAAUCAUUGUGUUAGAUUUAGGUGAUUGUGAAUUAAUGACGCCCCUGUUUAAAAAAAAAAAAUCUUUGAUAUUUUCACUCAAUUUCUAGGAACAAAUGUGAUUUAUAUUACUGAAAAGGAUUAUGAUGAUAUGGAUCACAAAAUGACGUGGAUCAGAGUGCAGUGUGUUGUUGUAAUCUGGAAGGCUGGUUAUGAAGGCCUGGGGAAAGCAUGGAAUAGCUGAAGAUAAAAGGCCAACGAAACACCUGCUUCAAAAACACUACAGUGUGUCCAGGCCCUGGUUAUGUCCACUGCACAGACCGCAAGUCCUGAUGUCAAAUACGUUAGUCUGAGAUAUUUCCUCUCACUAUAAACGAUGACUGGCAAGCUCAAUAGGAAACCUACAGCCAAAAGAUCUUUUAGAUAAAUUAGAA